rnacentral:rRNA from 1 species
UACGUAGGUGGCAAGCGUUGUCCGGAUUUAUUGGGUUUAAAGGGUGCGUAGGCGGCCUUGUAAGUCAGUGCUGAAAUAUCCCGGCUUAACCGGGAGGGUGGCAUUGAUACUGCAGGGCUUGAGUAAAGUUGAGGUUGGCGGAAUUGACGGUGUAGCGGUGAAAUGCGUAGAUAUCUGGAGGAAUACCGGUGGCGAAGGCGGCAUCCUGGACCGGCAUUGACGCUGAGGAGCGAAAGCUAGGGGAGCAAACGGG